GCAAGAUCUUCGGCGGUGACGGAUGGGCGUGCGGUUGAUUAGGUAGUUGGCGGGGUAACGGCCCACCAAGCCUACGAUCAAUAGCUGAUGUGAGAGCAUGAUCAGCCACACGGGCACUGAGACACGGGCCCGACUCCUACGGGAGGCAGCAGUAAGGAAUAUUGGGCAAUGGACGAAAGUCUGACCCAGCCAUGCCGCGUGAAGGAUUAAGGUCCUCUGGAUUGUAAACUUCUUUUCUCUGGGGCGAAAACCACCCUUUCUAGGGUAUUUGACAGUACCAGAGGAAUAAGCACCGGCUAACUCCGUGCCAGCAGCCGCGGUAAUACGGAGGGUGCAAGCGUUAUCCGGAUUCACUGGGUUUAAAGGGUGCGUAGGUGGGUCUGUAAGUCAGUGGUGAAAUCCCCGAGCUUAACUUGGGAACUGCCGUUGAUACUAUAGAUCUUGAAUAUCGUGGAGGUAAGCGGAAUAUGUCAUGUAGCGGUGAAAUGCUUAGAUAUGACAUAGAACACCAAUUGCGAAGGCAGCUUACUACACGAUCAUUGACACUGAGGCACGAAAGCGUGGGGAGCAAACAGGAUUAGAUACCUUGGUAGUCC
rnacentral:rRNA from 1 species